CAUGUAUUGCUGCAAAUGUGUACAGCCCUCAACAACCCACCAAGGCAAGGGCACAGCCUAAAGUCAUCUAACCCAGCAGCUCAUCAAAAGUCAUCUAACCCAUAGCUCCUCACUAUGGGGGAUGAGGAGAGUUCCCAGGUAAUUUCCCCUUGAUGGCUGGGGCAGGAUGGAUGCAACCAGUCCUCACCAAGCCUGCAAACCCCAGCACCUCCAUGAGCCUCUCAGCAGGACUGGAGAGGGACAAGAGCAGGCAGAGGGACCUACCCAGGGACCAAGUGGAGAGCCCGGCAUCUCUAGAGAACCAGCAACCUGAGCACCAGCCUCGAGCAAUCCAGGCACAUCCAGAAGAAAAGUCCUGCUAUGUCCAGUCCCUUUGCAGGAAACACACAAUGGGUGAUGGCUUCCACAUUCUCUCUUCUUCCACUGGCCACCCAAAAUAAGAGCAAUCUGACUAAUUACCACAGCUAAUUAGCAUCAGGAUGAAACAUCCAAUGUGGGCUGCAGACUCUUAGGAAAUAUAUUUUGCUGCCAUGAGACACAGAAGAAUUAUUUCCCAAGCAUCAUGUGCACAGCACAAUCAGCUAUGUGACUUUUCCUCUUUUUCCUCAUCAGUUCUUGGUUCUUGCAUGAUGAUGAUUUUUAAUGCCAAAGCAUUGUGCUUCAUCCCUCUUUAUUUCAGGCCACAGGCUCACCACAUUUUGGACUGGUUGCAACCCAUCUGGUUUCACUAAUACUUCUAAUAUAAUAUUUAUAACUAGCUAAGGGCUGAUCAUAUGACGGGUGUAAUCCAUAAGUCAUGUGCCAGUUGUGGUUAUUCUACACCUCAAGCCAUUUCUCUGUAUUUUUGUGUCCAUCGCCUGCUGGGGUAUUUCUAUGUUUUGUCACUGUUAUAGCUUUCCACCUUUGUAGCCUGGCAUUAAAGAAGGCUGUCUCAGUAA